UUUUUUUUUUUUCUUUUCUUUUCUUUUUUCUUCCCUUUCCUUCCUUUCUUUUUGGUUUAGAGAAGCCCUUUCCAUAUUUCCUUUAACCUGGGUUUUGUGUUGCUGUAUUCUUUAAGUUUUUGUUUGGUGGGAAAAAUUUUUAUUUCCCCUUCUAUUUUAAAUGAUAUUCUUGCUGGAUAGAGUAUUCUAGGUUGCAUAUUUUUUCCUUUUAGCACUUUAAAUAUCUCUUGCCAUUCCCUCCUGGCCUGUAGUGUUUCUGUAGAGAAAUCAGCUGAUAUUCUUAUGGGGGUUCCCUUGUAGGUAACAUUCUGGUUUUCUCUUGCUGCCUUUAGGAUCCUCUCUUUAUCACUAACUUUUGCCAUUUUUAUUAUGAUGUGUCUUGGUGUGGGUCUGUUUGGGUUCAGUUUGUUUGGGGCCCUCUGUGCUUCUUGUAUCUUGAAUCCAGUAUCCUUUAGAUUUGGGAAGUUUCCAGCAAUAAUUUCUUCAAAUAUAUUUUCCAUUCCCUCAUCUUUUUCUACUCCUUCUGGAAUUCCUAUUAUGCGUAGAUUGGCCUGCUUUAUAUUAUCCCAUAGGUCUCUUAUAUUGCUUUCCAGUUUUUUGAUUUGGGUUUUCUGUUGACCGGAUUGAGUGAUUUCCAUUAUUCUAUCUUCCAUAUCACUGAUUCGUUCUUCUGCAUUAUUCAUUCUGGUUUUUACUGCCCCUAGUUCAGUUUGCAUCUCUGCAAAUGAAUGUUCUAGUUUUUCUUGGCUCCUCCUUAUAUUUUCUAGUUCCUUUCUGAGGGUAUCUGCAUUACUGUUCAUAUCGUCUCUUAAUUCCUUCAGUAUUCUCACUAUUUCGCUUUUGAACUCCAGGUCUGUCAGACUGCAGAGAUCUGUUUCAUUGUUGACUGUUUUAGGUGAGUUCUCCUGUUGGUUUGACUGGGGGUGGUUUCUCAGCUUCUUCAUCUUGCUUGUUGUUUUCUUUCUCCUGAGGGAGUUGUACUCUCCUUGAUCGGGCAGUGUUUGCCUUCUCACUGCUGUGGAAUAUUUCCUGAGGGCUAGCGUUGUUGGUCAAUCUUUUUUGAGGCAGUGUGGCUUUUCUGGAGUGUUGAUGGGGCUAACAGUGUUUCUUUGAAGCAAAGGAGGACUUCCUGAGGGCAGACAGGACUGGGAGGUCCACUGUUUGAUCUUUCCCCCGGUAGGUGACUUUCCAGGGUGCGGGAUCCCUUUCUCCUCCGCAGUUCCCUUUCCGGAGCGCCCGUCCCGCUCGGAUUCACCUUCUCUCACUCUCCUCUUUUCUCCCGUUCUGCCCAAUAAUGUCACGAACUUCUUGCCGUUAUUGGAGUUUAGGUUCCUCUGCCAGUGAUUGGCUGCUGUUCUGUGCGAGUCAUUUAUUCUGUAGAUGUGCUUUUUUUGUUGUGUUUGUAUGAGAGGGUGAGAGUGUCCCCCUCCUCCUCUGCAUCUUGUCCUCUCUGGUUUAUUUUAUUUUAUUGGUCUUUUUGCCAUUUCUAGGGCCACUCCCUCAGCAUAUGGAGGUUCCCAGGCCAGGGGUCGAAUCAGAGCUUAGCCACCGGCCUACACCACAGCCACAGCAACUCGGGAUCCGAGCCGCUUCUGCGACCUAUACCACAGCUCACAGCCGGGUCCUUAACCCACUGAGAAAGGCCAGGGAUCCAACCCGCAACCUCAUGGUUCCUAGUCGGAUUCGUUAACCACUGAGCCACGACGGGAACUCCAGGCACCUGGUUUAUUAACACAUCAACUGGACAACUCUGCCUUUCGCCAUUUAACCUCAUUGUGAACGAACAACCCCAACACUUCUCAGGUUCUCGGGGACCCUGGGAGAGCCGGCCCUCCUGCUUCCGGGGAAGGGGUGAGAGCACAGGGAGGAGGUGCGAGCACACCACUAUUCCUCAAAGAAGGCCAUGGUGAGCUCCCCUGCGGCAUCUCUGUGCUGCGGCUCCUCCCUCGGCUCCGGCUCUUUUCCAACAUCCUCCAUGAGCUGCUCCAGGUCCAGGUCCCUGGAGGCUUCAUCGUCAGAGGGGACACUUCCAGCCCCCAGAGGCCAUGCCUCCUGGGGUUCAGGCCCCUCCCUCCCCACCACGGGACAGGCCCCACAAGGAGCUGGUGGAGUCAGCCCCUCAGGCGCUAUUCUACCUUCUUUUUCCUCAGACGAGCUGCUUAGUGAGACCUUGCUUUGGGGAGCUUUGAAGUUUUUCUUAGGGCCUAACUGAAAAUGUGACAAAACUAAGUUUUUACGUUCUACAAGUCAAACUCCUGAUUUUCUCAUCCCAAAACAAUCUCUGAAAAAGAUGACAUUUUUCACGGGCAGUUCCCAUUGUGGCUCAGCAGUAACAAACCCAACUAGUAGCCAUGAGGAUGCGGAUUCAAUCCCUGGCCUUGCUCAGUGGGUUAAGAAUCUAGCAUUGCCGUGACCUGUGGUGUAGGUUGCAGGCAUUGCUUGGAUCCCAUAUUGCUGUGGCUGUGCUGUAGGCCAGAGGCUACACUCCAACUCAACCCCUAGAGGGAACUUCCAUAUGCCACAGGUGCAGCCCUAAAAAGCAAAAAAAUUUUUAAAAAUGACGUUUUCAGUUGAAAGAAACUAGGUGGCUUUGGAGUCAGAAAGACCUAGAUUUAAGCCAUGGAAAAGCCAUAUGCUACACUGGUCUGAAGCAACACAUUUUAAACCCUUUGAGCUCAGUCUCUUUCUCUCUAAAAUGCCACAUAUCCAUUCAUCGAAUGAAUCAAACAAAUAAAGGGAAUAAGCAUAGAUGUAGCUAUCUAGCCAGCCCACAGAACUGCUAAUAAACGUUAGUUCCCGCCUUCUCACCAUUCGCCUGUCCCUAGAACAAAUACAGUCAAUAACCAUUAUGUUUCUAGAACAUGUGUUGCAUUCAUACAAAAUGCUUCCUUAGGAUCACAAAAGGCAGAAAAAGUGCAAGGCAAAAAUAGGAACAAAGAACAAGGGAAACAAAAACAGCAGAGAAUACUAUACGUAUCACUCUAACUGUACUGAUAACCACACUGAAUGCCAAUGGUCUAAGUGCACCAAUUAAAAGACAAAGAUUGGCAGUUCCCUUGUGGCUCAAGGUUAAGGACACAGCGUUGCUAUAGCUGUGGGGCAGGCUGCAACUGCUGUUGGAUCCCUGGCCUGGGAUCUUCCACAUGCUGAGAGUCCGGCCAAAACAAUAAUAAUAAAAUUAAAUAAAAAUAGGGACUCCCAUCUCGCCUCAGCCGGUUAAGGACACACUGUUGUCUCUGUAAGGAAGUGGGUUCGAUCCUCAGCCUUGCUCAGUGGGUUAAGGACCCAGCGUUGCCACAAGCUGCAGUGGAGGUCACAGAUGCAGGUCACAUCUCGUGUGGCCAAGAGCAUGGUGUAGGCCUCAGGUGCAGCUCCUGGGAACUGCCGUAUGCCUCAGGUGCAGCCAUAAAAAGAAAAUACUACUACUAAUAAUAUAACAAAGGACUAAGAUUGUCAAAGUGGAUCAAAAAAAAUUACCCAUGGUGCUUCAUUGGGUUGAGGAUGCAGCAUUAUAACUGUUGUGGCUGAGGUCACUGCUGCGGCACAGGUUCAGUCCCUAGCCCAGGAACCUCCUCGUGUCACGGGCAUGGCCAAAAAACAAAAACAAACAAACAAAAAAACACUGCCUACCUAUACCCAUAGGUUGUCUACAAGAAACUCACUUUAAAGAUAAAGACAUACAAAUUGAAAGCAAAUGGAUGGAGAAAAAUAGACUAUGCUGACACUAAUGAAAAGAAAGCAAAACAGCUACAUUAAUUUCAGACAAAGAAGACUGCAAAGUAAGGAAAGUAAUCAGAGAUAAAGAGGCCACUACAUAAUGACAAAGGGAGCAAUUCUCUAAGAAGAAAUAAAAAUGUCCAACAUAUAUGCCCCUAAUAACAGAGCGUCAAACGAGGCAAGGUAAAAAGUGAUGGACCUCUAAGGAGAAAUAAAUAGACAAUCCACUGUCAUAGCUGGAGAUGCCAAUACCCCCCACUUUCAGAAACAACAGAAACUCAGUAAGGACAUACUUGAACUCAACAAAUGAGUAUAAUUCACAUCAAGAGACCACUUCAGGCAACAAAUGUAGAAUACACAUUUUUCCCAAGCUACAUGGAACAUGCACCAAGACAGACAUUCUGGGCCACAAAACACACCCAAACAAAUGUUAAAGACUAGAAAUCAUACAAUUUCUGCUCAGAUCACACUGGAAUUAAACUAGAAGUUUGUAGCAGAAAGAUAACAAGAAAAUCCCAAAAUACAUGCCGAUGGAACAGCACACUUCUAAAUACACAUGGAUCAAAGAAGAAAUCUCCAGAGAAAUUUUUAAAUAUUUUGUUCUUGUUAGGGGUUUUUGGUCUUUUUUAUUUUUCUUAGGGCUGCACCUGUGGCAUACAGAGGUUCCCAGGCUAGGGAUCCAAUCAGAGCUGAAGCCUACACCAUAGCCACAACAAUGCUGGAUCCAAGUCACAUCUGCAACCUACACCACAGCUCACGGCAGCACUGGAUCCUUAACCCACUGAGCAAGGCCAGGGAUCAAACCUGCCUCCUCGUGGAUGCUAGUCAGGUUCACUGACCACUGAGCCACAAUGGGAGCUCCACAUACUUUAAUUUAAAAAAAAAAAAGUUUUACAAAGAAAAAUCAGUAGAAAAAAAUAAAACAAAAAGAUCAAUAAAGUUGACAAGCCUCUGGCUAAGCUAGUAAGAAAGAACAUAAAGAACACAAAUUUCUAAAAAUUACUAAUAUCAGAAAUAAAAAUGGGGAUAUCACUACAGAUCUCAUGGACAUUAAAAAGAUAAUAAAGGGGAGCUCCUUGGUGGCCUAGCAGUUAACGACUCUGGUGUUGUCACUGCUGUGGCUUGGGUCACUGCUGUGGCAUGGAUUCAAUCCCUGGUCCAGGAGCUCCCUCAUGCCACAGCCUCAGCCACACAC
rnacentral:lncRNA from 1 species